rnacentral:rRNA from 1 species
UACGUAUGGGGCAAGCGUUAUCCGGAUUUAUUGGGCGUAAAGCGCGCGUAGGCGGCUUGUUAAGUCAGGUGUGAAAUCCGGGGGCUCAACCCGCGGCUUGCACCUGAAACUGGCAGGCUUGAGUCUGGUAGAGGAAAGUGGAAUUCCUGGUGUAGCGGUGAAAUGCGCAGAUAUCAGGAGGAACACCAGUGGCGAAGGCGGCUUUCUGGGCCACGACUGACGCUGAGGCGCGAAAGCUAGGGGAGCGAACAGG